GGGCUGGCGCUGCGCGGCGUCGUCACCACCACUGGCCUCUUCUAUGGCGUGACCAUGAUCGGCCUCCCCGGCUCCCUGGUGACCGUCGUGCUGCGCUCCAUCAUCUCCAAGAACGUGGCCAAGGAGGAGCUAGGCGUGGUGUUCUCGUUCCUGGCGGCGGUGGAGUCGAUCUGCGCGAUGGCGACGGCGUCUGCCUUCCUGCUGCUUUACAACGCCGUGCUGGACCGCGGGCCGGGCG